rnacentral:rRNA from 1 species
UACGGAGGGAGCUAGCGUUAUUCGGAAUUACUGGGCGUAAAGCGUACGUAGGCGGCUUUGUAAGUUAGAGGUGAAAGCCUGGAGCUCAACUCCAGAACUGCCUUUAAAACUGCAUCGCUUGAAUCCAGGAGAGGUGAGUGGAAUUCCGAGUGUAGAGGUGAAAUUCGUAGAUAUUCGGAAGAACACCAGUGGCGAAGGCGACUCGCUGGACAGGUAUUGACGCUGAGGUGCGAAAGCGUGGGGAGCAAACAGG